CCUACGGGUGGCAGCAGUCGAGAAUCAUUCACAAUGGGGGAAACCCUGAUGGUGCGACGCCGCGUGGGGGAAUGAAGGUCUUCGGAUUGUAAACCCCUGUCAUGUGGGAGCAAAUUAAAAAGAUAGUACCACAAGCGGAAGAGGCGGCUAACUCUGUGCCAGCAGCCGCGGUAAUACAGAGGUCUCAAGCGUUGUUCGGAACCACUGGGCGUAAAGCGUGCGUAGGUGGCACGUUAAGUAUGGUGUUAAAGGCGGAAGCUCAACUUCCGUAGGGCACUGGAUACUGGCGAGCUUGAAUGCGGUAGAGGUAGAGGGAAUUCGUGGUGUAGCGGUGAAAUGCGUAGAUAUCAGGAGGAACAUCGGUGGCGUAAGCGCUUUACUGGGCCGUAAUUGACACUGAGGAACGAAAGCCUGGGUAGCAAAUGGGAUUAGAUACCCCGGUAGUC
rnacentral:rRNA from 1 species